AUGGAGGACUAAGAAAGUAAAUCCAGAGAAGUUAUUUGGAUUUUACUGAUACUAUCCUCCUAAAGAAAAUGAUAGAAGAACAGGUCUGACUACAAGGUGUGUGAAGGACCUACUUAAUCUAUCAACACUG